rnacentral:miRNA from 1 species
UGACCUUUGGGGAUAUUCGUG